rnacentral:rRNA from 1 species
UACGAAGGGGGCAAGCGUUGUUCGGAAUUACUGGGCGUAAAGGGCGCGCAGGCGGCCGAUCAAGUCAGAUGUGAAAGCCCCGGGCUCAACCUGGGAAUAGCAUUUGGGACUGGUCGGCUAGAGUUCGGGAGAGGAGAGUGGAAUUCCCAGUGUAGAGGUGAAAUUCGUAGAUAUUGGGAAGAACACCGGUGGCGAAGGCGGCUCUCUGGACCGACACUGACGCUGAGGCGCGAAAGCCAGGGGAGCAAACGGG